UACGUAGGGUGCGAGCGUUUGUCCGGAAUUAUUGGGCGUAAAGAGCUCGUAGGCGGUUUGUCGCGUCGGCCGUGAAAACUUGGGGCUUAACCCCAAGCCUGCGGUCGAUACGGGCAGACUUGAGUUCGGCAGGGGAGACUGGAAUUCCUGGUGUAGCGGUAGAAAUGCGUAGAUAUCUGGAGGAACACCGGUGGCGAAGGCGGCAUCCUGGACCGGUAUUGACGCUGAUGCGCGAAAAGCCAGGGGGAGCAAACAGGG
rnacentral:rRNA from 1 species